CUCGCCGGUGUUUAGCAACAGAGAUGGCGUGCGCCGAGUCCUCCGCGAGGAGAGCUUGUAAGCAGGAGGCAUGCUCCACAGUGCCGGCUGCACGCAGGUCAGAUGUCGGUUUGGAGAGGAGCUCGGCGGAGCUGUGCCGCCAUGUCCGCCACCAGCAAGCUUCAGUCGGUGGGUGCGACGGCAGUCGGCGGCGCCAUCGGGGCGCAAGGAAGGUGAUCAUGUUUUUAUUGAGUUCUUCUCUGCCAAGUGGAACAACAGGGACACAAGCCUUAUCUAACUAUAGUACAUUUUCUUUAUGUAUAGAUGAUUCACAAGUAAGGUGAUCAUCACAUAAAUGCAGCAUGUAUAUAUAAAUGAAAAUUUUAGGGAAGGGAGGGCAGUGUGUUGUUACCCAACGCAGCCCCCUAAACGGGUGAGAGAGAGGGGUGGUGGGGGUGGACAGUGUGGGUUCCUUUUGUUAGUCAACCUUCACGUUUUUGCAUUAACGGGUCUGCUAGGAGGCCCGUUUCACGGCAGGUUCCUUUUACGUAAACUAGAAGGAGCCCAAGAGGCUUCGGCAGAUUUUCGACCU